rnacentral:piRNA from 1 species
UUUAACAUUUUUGGUGAGCAC